UGGACCAAGACACAUGGAAAGAAAAGCAGAAGAGAUAAGACACCCAACUUCCAAGAAAGGUUCCAUUUUCCAGUACCAAACGCAACUUGCCUUAGUGGUGGUGGUGACCAGGUCUACUAAUCAAUUUCCUAGCAGUUUCUUUUGGGGGAUUGCAUCUGUGUAUAUAUAUAUAUAUUAUACAUAUAUAUUGGACAUGAAGCACCAUGCCAUGCUAAUCCAUGGUGGGAGUUACUGAGUAAGAGGGAAAGGCAGAUAGAUCUGCAGGAAGUUUUGGGAAUGGGCUGCUAGGGAUGGAAGCGACUAAAAAGUGAAUCCCUUUCCUAGCCCGCCCAUUCCUAUGAUUUCCUGUGGUUCCUUUCUUUCCCUACCUUGCUUGUUUGAUUAAAUCCAAUUCAUCUGAUCCCCUGCUUUCUGGACUGGUGGAAAUUUAGCAGCUCAGAGUGGAAGAUAUUAAUUAAGCUGCCGGUUUUACUCAGGUUUUUUUUUUGAAAAAAAGCAGCUCUCUGAUCUUUUUGGUUUCCAUGCGUGCUUAUUCAUCGUUGAGAAAAAUUCUGCAAAAAAAAAAAAAGGAAGUGAAAAAGAGAAAUACUCUGUCCUUGAGAAAGACGAACAGGAGACCUUAAGCAUAUGGGUUUAUCGGCAGAAAGACCUUUGGUGCUUGGAUCAUAAGAUGAAAAGCUACAGCUUUGUGAAGGAACUUCAAUUUCUACAGGAACUAAUUGAAGUAGAUCUUACAAGUAUGAGUAGAUCUUGGCUUUAAAUUCUAUUUAGAUGCUUCUGCAACAAAAUUGAACGUACAUAAGCCAAAUCUAAAGCAGGUCAUAUAACCAAUGCUAAACUUGGUUCAAAAUCACUCACUGAAGUGGCUUGGAAAUCCAUGAACAAUUAGCUAUACAAUUCCUCUGGACGGUUUUUUUUUGUUUUUGCCUUUAUUUUUUGGGGAUUAAAUACUUGGAAUGAAUCCUGAAUUUCCGCCAGUAGGAUUUGCCUGGCCAAAUAAAGAAAGGGGAUGUACGAGUUGAAUCUCA